CCGCGCAGCUCCGCCCCCACGAAGCCCCACCCACACGCCAUCGAUGGGAGAGGCCAGGACGCGGCGGGAGGGGUGUGGCCUGUGCCCGGAGCCCAGGCUGGAGGCGGCCUUCAGCAGACUCAGGGUCUCACGAGCUGCUGUCAGGGCAGGGCAGAGUAUUGCGUCUGGAAUUUUGCCGCUUCUUGGUUGACAGAAUCCAAGGGUAUAUUGUCACAGAGAAGACUCCAGCCUGAUGUCUAUGGGACCUGAGUCCACACUGUGGAGGGCACAAGCUGUGGGAGGG
rnacentral:lncRNA from 1 species